rnacentral:tRNA from 1 species
GGGAUUGUGGCUCAGCGGUAGAGUGCUUGUCUACCACAUACAAGACCCUGGGUUCAAUCCUCAGCACCA